CUGCUGUGGGAGCCGGCAACCCCUGGGCCUCUCCCCAUGCUGCCUCCCCUCAUCGAUCCCUGGGACCCUGGCCUGACUGCCCGGGACCUGCUUUUCCGCGGAGGGUACCGGUAUCGGAGGCGGCCCCGAGUCGUGCUGGAUGUUACUGAGCAGGUGAGUGGGCCCACGGGGGACAGUGCUGCGUAGCCUGGAGACUGUGCUUAGUGACCUGGCCUCCUCCUCUCCCCAGAUCAGCCGGUUCCUCUGGGAUCAUGGAGACGUAGCCUUUGCGCCCCUGGGGAAGCUGAUGC
rnacentral:sRNA from 1 species